AAUCGGCGCCUACACUCUCCUUACUGUCCCUCUCGUCGUUGACCACGGAUGUACUGGCAGCGGCGGGAGGGACGAUGAAAGGUCGGGCUGAGCCCGGCCUUUUUGUUU
rnacentral:sRNA from 1 species